AUCGAACUCUUGACCUUGCGCUUGCCAGGCAGGCGCUGAGGAAUUUAAAAACCCAUCUGGACCCCAUCAUCCAUGGCAAAAGAAUUGCGUCUGAUGCUGGAAUCACUACAUGUGCUCUUGUCAAGAUGAAGAAUAGAAGAGUGAAUGAAUUUCUGGCUUAAUAAUUUAAUUCUCACAAAAAGUGUAAGUAUGCACAAUGAUUACUACCAGGUCUUUUGUCAGAAUAAUGCUUCGAUAGCUGAACAAUUGACCCAUACAAGAAAAAUAGUAGGUCAUUGUUAUGGCUUGUAUCUAGAUGUCCCCCCAAAGCCUCAUGCAGUCAUAGGCGCGGGUUUUUGGAGGUGGCAGGAUCUAGAGUGUGUGAUGCUGGGAUUAAGGGUGGGAUGCUGGGAUUGAUACACAGUACGAUGCUAGGAUUAAGGGUGUCCCACCAUGGGUGUGAGUGCUACCCGAAUAGAGUAGAAAGGGUAGAAAGCUGCUUGGCACUUGCUGCUGACUGUUUGCUACUUCUUCACUACUUUGUGGCUUUGUUGCUUUUUGCCUGUCAUGAACUAUGUCUCCUCCGUACGCCCCUCUGCUAUGCCACCCUGCCUGGGAGCUGGCCAACUAUGAACUGAAACCUCUACAA